AUGGCGGGGCCUCCCCGCCCAGCGCCCGUCCGCCGCUCCGCCCGCCUCGGCCCACAGGCGCCCCAGCAGCCCCCCUGCUCUCCCCCGCCACCGUCCCCGCCGGCCGCGGCGGAGUCUCCAGGAGGAACCGACCCCCGCCGGUCGGUGCGUAUCAGCGUCCGGACCCGCAUCCGUGGCCUCCCCUCGGCGGCGCCGUCGUCCUCGCGGAUACGGCGCAAGUCCCCCGCGGCGCCUCUGCGGCGGACUGUACAGGCAUGCACGGAGGAGUGGGGGGCAGCGAAGGCCGCGUCAGGCGCCCCGGCGGAGGAGUGCGUCCUCCCUUUCCUCCAGAAAGGCGCGCCGAGGAAGGUACGUGCCGGUACCACUGCCAGGCCUGCAAUUCAGUUAGCAGCUUGUGUGUCAAUCAGGACUCUGACAACUAAAAUGUUAGGUUUGCUAGAAACGGGAUGA
rnacentral:rRNA from 1 species